rnacentral:rRNA from 1 species
UACGUAGGUGGCAAGCGUUAUCCGGAAUUAUUGGGCGUAAAGAGCGCGCAGGUGGUUGAUUAAGUCUGAUGUGAAAGCCCACGGCUUAGCCGUGGAGGGUCAUUGGAAACUGGUCGACUUGAGUGCAGAAGAGGGAAGUGGAAUUCCAUGUGUAGCGGUGAAAUGCGUAGAGAUAUGGAGGAACACCAGUGGCGAAGGCGGCUUCCUGGUCUGUAACUGACACUGAGGCGCGAAAGCGUGGGGAGCAAACAGGAUUAGA